rnacentral:lncRNA from 1 species
GCGGUUUCACUCCAGUAGCUGUGUCAGCAUUUGCCGUACCCGUCGGUGCUGCCGCCGUCCUCGACGAUCAACUCCAACGGUGGCGGUCCAGGUCCAAAUCCUGCACAGUACAUGCCACACGGCGCCCUCAAUGGGGCGCUCCUCGUUUAGUGCCUGCGAGCAACUUACAUACAUACGUAGGAAGGGCGGGGAAAAGGGGGGGGAAAGGCAAAACACACCUUAACCACACGCCUGUGCUUACACCCGCAGGAGGCAAACAGUUGCUUUUAUCGAAACAAUUGCUGAUCGGAAUAUUUACUGUAAACUCGGUGCAGAAGCUACCGACACGUGGCCGGGGUUUUACACCGCCUUGUACUGCUGUACUGCUGUCGUACCUACCGGUAUGAUGACGCUCACGGUUGCAUUGCUGGUGUCCACACGCGAACAACAACGGGAAUCUAGUACGGCACCCCGGGCAGUAGCAGCACACCAGCGACUGCGGCCUACAUCAUUCGCAUCAUGACACAGCGCCAUCUUGAAAGUUUGUGCGUUUUGUGUCUAUUUAGCGCCGCCAUGCGGGCGUAUUAAUUGAUUUGCGCCACGGUGUGUGUACCUAAAUGUUCGACAUCCGUGUGAAGUGCGCGAUAUGCGUCGAGAGACGUAGGGAUGCCGUGUGCACAGAGUCGUACAAUGUACGAAAGCUUUACGAUGCAGCGAACGUGAUUUGCAAAAGAAUAAAUGGGUUUUGGGAAGCAGGU